CCUANGGGUGGCAGCAGUUCAGAAUCUUGCGCAAUGGGCGAAAGCCUGACGCAGCGAUGCCGCGUGAGCGAUGAAGGCCUUCGGGUCGUAAAGCUCUGUCAGAGGGAACGAUAAUGACGGUACCCUCAAAGGAAGCCACGGCUAAUUACGUGCCAGCAGCCGCGGUAAUACGUAAGUGGCGAGCGUUAUCCGGAAUCACUGGGCGUAAAGCGUUCGUAGGCGGCGCAGUAAGUUGGAAUUGAAAUCCCAGGGCUUAACUCUGGACCCGGUUCCAAAACUGCUGUGCUUGAGCGUAUCAGAGGGUAGUGGAAUUCCCGGUGUAGCGGUAAUAUGCGUAGAUAUCGGGAGGAACACCAGUGGCGAAGGCGGCUACCUGGGAUAUUGCUGACGCUGAGGAACGAAAGCCAGGGGAGCGAACGGGAUUAGAUACCCCGNUANUC
rnacentral:rRNA from 1 species